rnacentral:rRNA from 1 species
AUUGAACGCUGGCGGCAGGCCUAACACAUGCAAGUCGAACGAGUGGCGGACGGGUGAGUAAUGUCUGGGAAACUGCCUGAUGGAGGGGGAUAACUACUGGAAACGGUAGCUAAUACCGCAUACCAUCAGAUGUGCCCAGAUGGGAUUAGCUUGUUGGUGGGGUAACGGCUCACCAAGGCGACGAUCCCUAGCUGGUCUGAGAGGAUGACCGGCAACACGGGUACUGAGACACGGUCCAGACUCCUACGGGAGGCAGCAGUAGGGAAUCUUCGGCAAUGGACGAAAGUCUGACCGAGCAACGCCGCGUGAGUGAAGAAGGUUUUCGGAUCGUAAAGCACUUUAAGUUGGGAGGCGUUACCAACAGAAUAAGCACCGGCUAACGUCGUGCCAGCAGCCGCGGUAAUAC